rnacentral:rRNA from 1 species
UACGGAGGUGGCAAGCGUUGUCCGGAUUUACUGGGUGUAAAGGGCGUGUAGCCGGGCCGGCAAGUCAGAUGUGAAAUCCCAAGGCUCAACCUUGGAACUGCAUUUGAAACUGUUGGUCUUGAGUAUCGGAGAGGCAGGCGGAAUUCCUAGUGUAGCGGUGAAAUGCGUAGAUAUUAGGAGGAACACCAGUGGCGAAGGCGGCUGUCUGGUCUGCAACUGACGCUGAGGCUCGAAAGCAUGGGUAGCGAACAGG